GACGAACGCUGGCGGCGUGCUUAACACAUGCAAGUCGAACGGAAAGGCCUGCUUUCCCUUGUGGAUUGCGGGUACUCGAGUGGCGAACGGGUGAGUAACACGUGAGUGAUCUGCCCCCAACUUGGGUAUAAGCCUGGGAAACUGGGUCUAAUUCCCGAUAGGACUGCAGGGUGGUGCCUGUGGUGGAAAACGAUUUUCUAGUGGUUGGGGAUGAGCUCGCGGCCUAUCAGCUUGUUGGUGGGGUAAUGGCCUACCAAGGCGGCGACGGGUAGCCGGCCUGGGAGGGUGGGCGGCCACAUUGGGACUGAGAUACGGCCCAGACUACUACGGGAGGCAGCAGUGGGGAAUAUUGCACAAUGGGCGGAAGCCUGAUGCAGCGACGCCGCGUGGGGGAUGACGGCCUUCGGGUUGUAAACUCCUUUCGAUCGCGAGGAAGCCACCUGGUUGGAAGGGUGGUGACGGUAGUGGUAGAAGAAGCACCGGCUAACUACGUG
rnacentral:rRNA from 1 species